CGCUGGCGGCGUGGAUAAGACAUGCAAGUCGAGCGGGAACUUUCGCUGUAGCAAUACAGUGAAAGUUCUAGCGGCGAACGGGUGCGUAACACGUGGACAAUCUGCCUUAAAGUGGGGGAUAGCUCGGCGAAAGCCGAAUUAAUACCGCAUGUGAUGAGAGACGACAUCGUCUUGAAAUCAAAGCCGGGGCAACCUGGCGCUUUUUGAGGAGUCCGCGGCCUAUCAGCUUGUUGGUGAGGUAACGGCUCACCAAGGCUAUGACGGGUAGCUGGUCUGAGAGGACGACCAGUCACACUGGAACUGAGACACGGUCCAGACACCUACGGGUGGCAGCAGUCGAGUAAUUUUUCUCAAUGGGGAAACCCUGAAGGAGCGACGCCGCGUGGAGGAUGAAGGC
rnacentral:rRNA from 1 species